UAAGGAAUAUUGGUCAAUGGACGCAAGUCUGAACCAGCCAUGCCGCGUGAAGGAUUAAGGUCCUCUGGAUUGUAAACUUCUUUUCUCUGGGACGAAACCCCCUGUAUCCACAGGGCCUGACGGUACCAGAGGACUAAGCACCGGCUAACUCCGUGCCAGCAGCCGCGGUAAUACGGAGGGUGCAAGCGUUAUCCGGAUUCACUGGGUUUAAAGGGUGCGUAGGUGGACAUUUAAGUCAGUGGUGAAAUCUUUGGGCUUAACCCGAAAACUGCCAUUGAUACUAUUUGUCUUGAAUUCUCUGGAGGUAAGCGGAAUAUGUCAUGUAGCGGUGAAAUGCUUAGAUAUGACAUAGAACACCCAUUGCGAAGGCAGCUUACUACGGAGACAUUGACACUGAGGCACGAAAGCGUGGGGAUCAAA
rnacentral:rRNA from 1 species